GCCGAAUCCCCGUGCCUGCGUGGUGCGCGGGAAAUGUGGCGUAAGGAAGCCCCACUCCGUGCCUGCGCCCGGGCUCACGUCCUUCUGAUCGAGGCCUUCCCACAGAGGGUGUCAGGCCCCCACGGCCCACGGCCUGGCGCGGAACACGGCUUUCAGGAGUCGGGUUGUUUUGGAAUGCAGCCCAAAGACGGGUGGUAAACUCCAUCCAAGGCUAAAUACUGGCACGAGUCCGAUAGCGAACAAGUACCGUGAGGGAAAGUUGAAAAGCACUUUGAAGAGAGAGUUCAAGAGUACGUGAAACCGCUAAGAAGCAAACGGGUGGGCCCGCAAAGUGGCACGGGAGAUUCAGCGUGUCGGGGAGUACGUCCGCCGGGCUUCAGGAUCCGCAAGGACCGCUGGGCGGCGGCUCGUGCCUCCGACGCGUGCACUUUUUCCGCGCGCAGAGCUGACGACCGGCUGGGAGUCUACCAAAAGGCUGACCGGCAGGUUCCUCCUACAGUUCUCGGACUCGGGAGAGCUUACAGCCGGCUUGCAACGGCUAGACGCCCGGUCGAGGAAGGGUAUCCGCGCCUGCCCCGCCGUGGGCUGGGCCCCCUGUCUCCCGCAGGUUGCGUCGGAGCGGGACUGUCCUCAGUGUCGUUCCGGUGCAGCCUACGGCUGCGCAGAUCGGGUCUCAUCAGGCGCUUCGGGUCGGUCAGCGAGGUCGGUCGCCCACCCGACCCGUCUUGAAACACGG
rnacentral:rRNA from 1 species